ensembl:snRNA U6 U6 spliceosomal RNA
GCGCUGGCUCUGACAGGACAUAUACUAAAAUUAGGACAAUAGAUAGAGAGAAGACUCGAGUGGCCCCUGCGCAAGGAUGACACGUGCAAAUUCGUGAAGCUUUCCGUAUUGUU